CGUACACUCCUACGGGAGGCAGCAGUGGGGAAUAUUGGACAAUGGGCGCAAGCCUGAUCCAGCCAUGCCGCGUGAGUGAUGAAGGCCCUAGGGUUGUAAAGCUCUUUCACCGGUGAAGAUAAUGACGGUAACCGGAGAAGAAGCCCCGGCUAACUUCGUGCCAGCAGCCGCGGUAAUACGAAGGGGGCUAGCGUUGUUCGGAUUUACUGGGCGUAAAGCGCACGUAGGCGGACUAUUAAGUCAGGGGUGAAAUCCCGGGGCUCAACCCCGGAACUGCCUUUGAUACUGGUAGUCUUGAGUUCGAGAGAGGUGAGUGGAAUUCCGAGUGUAGAGGUGAAAUUCGUAGAUAUUCGGAGGAACACCAGUGGCGAAGGCGGCUCACUGGCUCGAUACUGACGCUGAGGUGCGAAAGCGUGGGGAGCAAACAGGAUGAGAAACCCCGGUAGUCCCAUGAU
rnacentral:rRNA from 1 species